GGAACUGUAUUUCAAAUGUCAGCAGGGAAGGCAUGGAGAUUUUGGAAAAUCUUAGAAAGAUAUCAUCCUACAAGCAUGACUGAAAGAAAGCCUCCAGCCUUUUCAAUCCUCUUGACAUCUGUGACAUCUGUUUCACACCCUUUCAUUAAGUGAUGCAGAAUGGGAGAUAAAACAGAAGAAUCUAUCAGAGGUCAGAAGUGGAACAAGAAGGAAAGGCAAUUGGUGGGGAGGAGCAAGGAUUCUCUAGAGUUUCUCAUUCAGGAAGACAUAUGACUAUUAAUGUCAGAUGUGAAUGCCUACUGUAUGAAGAUUUUGAAGCUAUAUGCAGUUGGAGCGGGUUGCUGUCCUUGAAACAGAAACCCACUUAAAAAUGAAAAGUUCAACACACCUAAUGGUUUGCUCCUCCUUCACUCCAAGGUUUAAGCCAUAGGACUGCCCUUUAUGUAAAUCAACAAAGAAAAUUAUAGCUCAUAAGAGACGUGCAAAGAUCUUGAUAUUGUAUUACACUCUCAGUUUCAAACCCAGGCCGAGUCUUCUCAAGUCAAAAGGUAUCUAGAAUAAGCUUUCCUGAAAAUAUUUGAGAUAGUAAGAAAUUCACAAUUUCCUUGUGUUCUUCUGAUAGUAAUAGCAAUAGUGAAAACCAAUAAUCCUCACAGAUACUGUAUAUUCUAAAUAGUCUGUCUAAAUUGAAAUAGAUUGCCUCAAAGUGUGAGAUUUUAGAUAUUUGAGGUUAUACAUUCAUUAAAAUGCUUCUCAUUGACCAUUUU